CUUUUUGCCUUUUCUAGGGCUGCUCCUGUGGCAUGUGGAGAUUCCUAGGCUAGGGGUCUAAUUGGAGCUGUAGCUGCGGGCCUACACCAGAGCCACAGCAAUGUGGGAUCCAAGCCGUGUCUUCGACCUACACCACAGCUCAUGGCAAUGCCGGAUCCUUAACCCACUGAGCGAGGCCAUGGAUGGAACACGCCACCUCAUGGUUCCUAGCUGGAUUCAUUCACCACAGAGCCACGACAGAAACUCCUAAUUUUUUUUUUUUUAAAACCAACAAAGUCCUCCUUCUAAGCCAUGGCGAUCAACCUUGACCAUGUACUUGAAUCUCCUUGAAGUGCUUUUUCAUGCAGAUACUCUUUGCAGCAACAUGGAUGGACCGGGAGGGGUAUCAUGCAAAGUGAAGUCAGAGAAAGACUGAUACUUAUGACAUCAGUUAUAUGUGGAAUCUAAAAGAAUACAACAAACUAAGUAUAAGAAGAACAAAGCAGACUCACAGAUCUAGAGAACAAGCCAGUGGUAACCAGCGGGGGGAGGGGCAGGGGAGGGGAGGGGAACACCUGCAACGGACAUAAAGUGUGCAGCAACUAGACUUCAACACACAAAAUAGGUUUUAAACGAAAAAGAGUAGUGAAACCACUCACUGCUGAGUGCACGCCCUCGUGCCCACCUGUCCCCCCCGAGUCCCUGACUGAGGUGGGGGCAUCUCGCGUGGGGCUGAGAAUGUGCAUUUCCAAGAGGCUCCUGGGCGGAGGUGAGGCAGCUGGGCUGGAACCACACAGUGGGCGCCAGGAGGCUCCCAGGCAGGAUGGCGUCCCCGGUCGUGCAUCCUGCUGUCUGUUCUCUCUGGUUUCAACCGCCUGGUUUCUGCAGCAUCCCCUUUGCCAGCAUCAGCCUAGGGAGCUAACCGUCUCCACGUGGUCCUAGCGGGUACCCGUACGCCUGCCCCCUCAACCUUAGGCAGCAUGACCGCAGUCCCACCCACGGGGAAGGCGGGCUUGGGGCUGCGGAAGAACAGAGCUCCGCACAGAGCUUACCUACCAAAGGCCGACGGCUCAGUCCUUUCUGCCUCCGCUUCUUCUCUUCGUUCCCGCCAUACUCUCAGAGCAAAGGUAUAAAAGUCAAAGGGUGUCCUUUUAGAAUCGGGCUCCUGACCAACGCCAGCUUCCUCUCCUCUUCCCACGGCUUCCCAGCGCGCCGAGGGCUCCCAGGCGGCCCACGAGGCGCGCGGCAGGGCUCAGCGACGUGGAACGCGGCACGGUCAGCUCUUCCUCGUGCAUCCAGGACCAUGUCCCCACGGCUCUUACACUGCCCUCAGCCAGCGUCCCUCUGCCCUGGCCGGGGGCAGGAGCAGCGUUUGAAGACGGAUCCAGAUUCCCCGCUUUUCCUGAUUGGCAGGUGGCGUUCCCCAGAGGUAUUAGCGCGCCUAAUGGAU
rnacentral:lncRNA from 1 species